CCUACGGGGGGCAGCAGUGAGGAAUAUUGGUCAAUGGGCGGAAGCCUGAACCAGCCAAGUCGCGUGAGGGAAUAAGGCCCUACGGGUCGUAAACCUCUUUUGCCGGGGAGCAAGGGCGGGGACGUGUCCCGGCCCGGAGAGUACCCGGAGAAAAAGCAUCGGCUAACUCCGUGCCAGCAGCCGCGGUAAUACGGAGGCUGCGAGCGUUAUCCGGAUUUAUUGGGUUAAAGGGGUGCGUAGGCGGCCUGCUAAGUCUGGAGUGAAAGGUACCGGCUCAACCGGUACAGGCUCUGGAAACGGGCGGGCUAGAGAGCAGGAGAGGGCGGUGGAACUCCAUGUGUAGCGGUAAAAUGCGUAGAUAUAUGGAAGAACACCAGUGGCGAAGGCGGCCGCCUGGCCUGUUACUGACGCUGAGGCACGAAAGCGUGGGGAGCAAAUAGGAUUAGAUACCCGAGUAGUC
rnacentral:rRNA from 1 species